UACAGUUGUGGCGCAUAGCGGCAAACGGGUGAAUAACACGUGGGCAACGUGCCUCAAGGUGAGAGAUAGACCACCGAAAGGUGGAGUAAUAACUCAUAUUCUUUAGGUCUGAGAUGACCUUUUGGAAAGAUGGCGAUGGGGAAACCCAGCUGUCGCCUUAAGAGCGGCCCGCGGCCUAUCAGGUAGUUGGUGAGGUAAUGGCUCACCAAGCCUAAGACGGGUAGCUGGCUUUAGAGAGUGGUCAGCCACAUCGGAACUGAGAUACUGUCCGGACUCCUACGGGAGGCUGCAGUCGAGAAUCUUUCUCAAUGGGGGAAACCCUGAAGAUGCGACGCCGCGUGAGGGAUGAAGGUCUUCGGAUUGUAAACCUCUUUUGUUGGGGAGGAAGAUUGCGCAAUUAACACCUGCGUAAUUUGACUGUACCCGGCGAAUAAGCCACGGCUGACUCCGUGCCAGCAGCCGCGGUAAUACGGAGGUGGCGAGCGUUACUCGGUUUGACUGGGUGUAAAGGGUCCGCAGGCGGUCAAGUAUGUAAAAGGUGAAAUCCUUAGGGCUCAACCCUAGAAUGGCCUUUUAAACUGCUUGGCUUGAGGUUGGGAGAGGAGAGUGGAACUGACGGUGUAAAGGUGAAAUUUGUGGAUAUCGUCAGGAACGCCCGUGGAGAAGUCGGCUCUCUGGCCCAAAUCUGACGCUCAGGGACGAAAGCUAGGGGAGCAAACAGGAUUAGAUACCCUGGUAGUCCUAGCCGUAAACGAUGGGCACUAGGUGUCCGUGCCUUGCGCAUGGGUGCCGCAGCUAACGCGUUAAGUGCCCCACCUGGGGACUACGGCCGCAAGGCUAAAACUCAAAGGAAUUGACGGGGGCCCGCACAAGCGGUGGAACACGUGGUUUAAUUCGAUGCUACGCGAGGAACCUUACCAGGGUUUGACAUGCUAGAAGUAGUGCUGCGAAAGCAGUUCCGAUUGGUACCCAGUCCAAAACUAGCACAGGUGCUGCAUGGCUGUCGUCAGCUCGUGCCGUGAGGUGUUUCCUUAAGUGGAAGAACGAGCGCAACCCUCGUGUUUAGUUGCCACCUAUAGUGUUGAACUAUAGAGCACUCUAAACAGACUGCCCGCGUUAAGUGGGAGGAAGGUGGGGACGACGUCAAGUCCGCAUGGCCUUUAUAUCCUGGGCUACACACGUGUUACAAUGCCUAUUACAAUGGGAGGCCAAGCCGUAAGGCGGAGCAAAUCCUACAAAAAUAGGCCCAGUUCGGAUUGAGGGUUGCAACUCAUCCUCAUGAAGCUGGAAUCGCUAGUAAUGGCAGAUCAGCUACGCUGCCGUGAAUACGUUCCCGGGCCUUGUACACACCGCCCGUCAAGCGCUGAAAGUGGGGGGCACCCGAAGACUCGAGCAAUCGGGGACACGGUGAAUUCUGUGAUUGGCGCUAAGUCGAAACAAGGUA
rnacentral:rRNA from 1 species